ACAAGUACUAGCCCAACCACAACCCAACUCAACACACACAAUUAACUAAAUCAAAACAUUUACCUCCGUGAAAGUAUAGGCGAUA
rnacentral:rRNA from 1 species